GCUCCAAUAGCGUGUACUAAUGCUGUUGCAGUUAAAUAGUUCGUAGUUGAACUUCUGGUAGGAGCGACCGGCCUGGGGCAACCUUGUUGCUGUGCGUCGUCUCUGGCCAUCCUGAGUGGUCUCGGCCACUCUCUUUCACUGUAAAUAAAGGUGGACGCUUAGAGUAGAAGCUUCUUCGGAAAUUUUUAGUAUGGGAUGAU
rnacentral:rRNA from 1 species